GAUGAACGCUGGCGGCGUGCCUAAUACAUGCAAGUCGAGCGAACGGACGAGAAGCUUGCUUUUCUGAUGUUAGCGGCGGACGGGUGAGUAACACGUGGAUAACCUACCUAUAAGACUGGGAUAACUUCGGGAAACCGGAGCUAAUACCGGAUAAUAUUUUGAACCGCAUGGUUCAAAAGUGAAAGACGGUCGUGCUGUCACUUAUAGAUGGAUCCGCGCUGCAUUAGCUAGUUGGUAAGGUAACGGCUUACCAAGGCAACGAUGCAUAGCCGACCUGAGAGGGUGAGCGGCCACACUGGAACUGAGACACGGUCCAGACUCCUACGGGAGGCAGCAGUAGGGAAUCUUCCGCAAUGGGCGAAAGCCUGACGGAGCAACGCCGCGUGAGUGAUGAAGGUCUUCGGAUCGUAAAACUCUGUUAUUAGGGAAGAACAUAUGUGUAAGUAACUGUGCACAUCUUGACGGUACCUAAUCAGAAAGCCACGGCUAACUACGUG
rnacentral:rRNA from 1 species